GACGAACGCUGGCGGCGUGCCUAAUACAUGCAAGUCGAGCGGACGAAUCGAAAGCUUGCUUUUGAUUCGUUAGCGGCGGACGGGUGAGUAACACGUGGGCAACCUGCCCUGUAGACGGGGAUAACACCGAGAAAUCGGUGCUAAUACCGGAUAACACGAAAUGUCGCAUGACGUUUCGUUGAAAGACGGCGCAAGCUGUCGCUACAGGAUGGGCCCGCGGCGCAUUAGCUAGUUGGUGCGGUAACGGCUCACCAAGGCGAAGAUGCGUAGCCGACCUGAGGGGGUGAUCGGCCAGACUGGGACUGAGACACGGCCCAGACUCCUACGGGAGGCAGCAGUAGGGAAUCUUCCGCAAUGGACGAAAGUCUGACGGAGCAACGCCGCGUGAGCGAAGAAGGCCUUCGGGUCGUAAAGCUCUGUUGUUAGGGAAGAACAAGUAACGCAGUAACUGGCGUUACCGUGACGGUACCUAACGAGAAAGCCACGGCUAACUACGUGCCAGCCGCCGCCGUAA
rnacentral:rRNA from 1 species